rnacentral:rRNA from 1 species
AUGGCGGUGCCGUCGGUGUUCACCGCCUUUGACACAGAUGGCGACGACAAGAUGUCCGCGUCUGAGCUGCAGCGCUGCAUGGAGGCGACGCUGGGCGAGGGCGUGUCCGAGGAGGAAGCGGUGGCGGUCCUUGCGGCGGUUGAUGCCGACGGCGACGGGCUGCCAAACCAGGGAGAGUUCUCGAGGCUAGUCGCCGGCGCCGAGGGAGAGGACGAUGCCAACGUGAAGCGAAGGUGCCUGAGGGACGCGUUCGGGAUGUACGCGUCGUCGCCCACGGAAGACACGAUUACGCCGGCGAGCCUGAGGCGGACACUGAGCAGGCUGGGGUUGCACGAGCUGGGCGUGGAGGAAUGCCGGGCGAUGAUCUGCAGAUUCGACCUCGACGGCGACGGCAAGCUCUCGUUUGACAAGUUCCGGGCACAGACGAUUGCGGGGAUGGGAGGGUUGGUGGGAGUUUUGCGGAGCAAGGUUUCCGUGUCCGAGCUACGGCGCUGCAUGGAGGCGACGCUGGGCGAGGACGUGCCCGAGAUGGAGGCGGCGGCGAUCCUCGCUGCGGUGGACGCGGACGGGGACGGGCUGCUAAACCAAGAAGAGUUCUCGAGACUGGCUACCACCGGCACCCAUGAAGAGGACGAUGCCGGCGUCAAGCGAAGGUGCCUGAGGGAGGCGUUCGGGAUGUACACGUCGUCGUCCGUGGAAGACACGAUUACGCCGGCGAGCCUGAGGCGGACGCUGACCAGGCUGGGGUCGCACGAGCUGGGCGUGGAGGAGUGCAGGGCAAUGAUCUGCAGGUUCGACCUUGACGGCGACGGCAAACUCUCGUUCGACGAGUUCCAGGUCAUGAUGAUGGCCUGA